GUUAGGAAUCUUCCACAAUGAGGGCAACCCUGAUGGAGCAACACCGCGUGCUGGAUGAAGGCCUUCGGGUCGUAAACAGCUUUUGUAUACGAAGAAUAUGACGGUAAUAUACGAAUAAGGGUCGGCUAACUACGUGCCAGCAGCCGCGGUCAUACGUAGGACCCAAGCGUUAUCCGGAGUGACUGGGCGUAAAGAGUUGCGUAGGCGGCUUAUUAAGCGAGUAGUGAAAUCUGGUGGCUCAACCAUCAACACAUUGCUCGAACUGAUAGGCUUGAGAAUGGUAGAGGUAGUUGGAAUUUCUUGUGUAGGAGUGAAAUCCGUAGAUAUAAGAAGGAACACCAAUGGCGUAGGCAGACUACUGGACCAUUUCUGACGCUGAGGCACGAAAGCGUGGGGAGCGAACCGGAUUAGAAACCCCGGUAGUCC
rnacentral:rRNA from 1 species